rnacentral:lncRNA from 1 species
GAGGUUUGAUUGGCUCACAUGUGGUUCUGCAGGCUGUACAGGAAGCAUGACUGGGGAGGCCUCAGGAAACUUACAGUCAUGAUGGAAGACAAAGUGAGAGCAGGCAUCUUGCAUGGCAGCAUUGGGACCAGGGAUCGGGGGUACCACACGCUUUUAAAUAACCGGAUCUUGUGAGCACUCACUAUACAGCACCAAAGGGGGAUGGUGCUAAACCAUUCAUGGGAACUCCACCCUCAUGAUCCAGUCACCUCCCACCAGUCCCCACCUCCCAACACUGGGGAUUACAUUUUGAUAUGAGAUUUGGUGGGGACCAGAUCCAAGCCAUAUCAUUCUGCCCCUGGCCCCUCCAAAUCUCAUGUCCUUCUCACAUUGCAAAGUAUAAUCAUCCCCUUCUCAGUAGCCCCCCGAAGUCUCAACUAAUUCCAAUAUUAGCUCAAAAGUCCACAGUCCAAAGUCUUAUCUGAGACAACACAAGUCCCUUCCACCUAUGAGCCUGUACAGUCAAAAACAAGUUAGUUACUUCCAAGAUACAAAAGAGGUACAAGUAUUGGGUAAAUACUCCCACUCCAAAAGGGAGAAAUCAACCAAAAGAAAGGGGCUACAGGCCCUAUGCAAGUCUGAAACCCAGCUGGGCAGUCAUUAACUCUUAAAGCUCCAAAAUCUCCUUUGACUUCAUGUCUCACAUCCAGGGCACACUGGUGCAAGGGGUGGGCUCCCAAAGCCUUGGGCAGCUCUGCCCCUGCGGUUCAGCCUCCAUGGAUGCCCUCAUGGGCUGGUGUUAAGUGCUAGUGGCUUUUCUAGGUGCAUGGUGCAAGCUGUUGGUGGCUCUACCAUUCCAGGGUAUGGAGGAUGGUGGCUCUCUUCUCACAGCUCCACCAGGCAGUGCCCCAGUGGGGACUCUCUGUGGGGGCUCCAACCCCACACUUUCCCUCCUCAGUACCCUACAUGAGGGCUCUGCCCCUACAGCAGGCUUCUGCCUGCACAUCCAGGCUUUUCCAUACAUCUUCUGAAAUCUAGGCAGAGGCUCCCAAGUCUCAACUCUUGCACCCUGUGCACCUGCAGGCUUAACACCAUGUGGAAGCUGCCAAGGCUUAUGGCUUGCACCCUCUGAAGCACCAGCUUGAGCUGUAUCCAGACACCUUUGAGCCAUAGCUGGAGGUGGAGUGGUUGGGAUGCAGGGAGCAGAGUCCUGAGGCUAUUCAGGGCAACAGGGCCCUGGACCUGGCCCAUGGAACCAUUCAAUCCUCCUAGGCCUCUGGGCCUGUGAUGGGAGAGGCUGUCUCUUAGAUCUCUGAAAUGUCUUGAGGGCUUAACCUCAUUGUCUUGACUAUCAGCAAUUGGUUGCUUUUUACUAAGUAAAUUUCUGCAGUGGGCUUGAAUUCCUGCCCUGAAAAUGGGCUUUGUUUUUAUACCACAUGGCCAGGCUACAAAUUUCCCAAACUUUUAUGCUUUGCUUCCCUUUUAAAUAUAAG